rnacentral:rRNA from 1 species
CAGUCGCCGCGGUAAUACAGAGGAUGCAAGCGUUAUCCGGAUUUAUUGGGUUUAAAGGGAGUGUAGGCGGUCUGUUAAGCGUGUUGUGAAAUUUAGGUGCUCAACAUCUAACUUGCAGCGCGAACUGGCGGACUUGAGUGCACGCAACGUAUGCGGAAUUCAUGGUGUAGCGGUGAAAUGCUUAGAUAUCAUGACGAACUCCGAUUGCGAAGGCAGCGUACGGGAGUGUUACUGACGCUUAAGCUCGAAGGUGCGGGUAUCGAACAGGAUUAGAUACCCGUGUAGUCCCUGUCUCUUAUAA